rnacentral:rRNA from 1 species
GUUUGAUCCUGGCUCAGAUUGAACGCUGGCGGUAUGCUUAAGACAUGCAAGUCGUGCGGUAGAAGGCUUCGGCCUUUGAGAGCGGCGGACGGGUGAGUAACACGUGGGAAUCUACCUAUUAGUGGGGGACAGCCCAGCGAAAGCUGGAUUAAUACCGCAUACGCCCUACGGGGGAAAGCAGCAAUGCGCUAAUAGAUGAGCCCGCGUAAGAUUAGCUAGUUGGUAAGGUAAAGGCUUACCAAGGCGACGAUCUUUAGCUGGUCUGAGAGGAUGGCCAGCCACAUCGGGACUGAGACACGGCCCGGACUCCUACGGGAGGCAGCAGUCGGGAAUAUUGGACAAUGGGCGAAAGCCUGAUCCAGCAAUACCGCGUGUGUGAAGAAGGCCUGCGGGUUGUAAAGCACUUUCAGUUGGGAAGAUAAUGACGUUACCAACAGAAGAAGCACCGGCUAACUCCGUGCCAGCAGCCGCGGUAAUACGGAGGGUGCAAGCGUUAAUCGGAAUUACUGGGCGUAAAGCGUGCGUAGGCGGCCUGUUAAGUCAGAUGUGAAAGCCCCGGGCUUAACCUGGGAACUGCAUCUGAUACUGGGAGGCUAGAAUGUGGGAGAGGAGAGUGGAAUUUCCGGUGUAGCGGUGAAAUGCAUAGAGAUCGGAAGGAACACCAGUGGCGAAGGCGGCUCUCUGGACCAACAUUGACGCUGAGGCACGAAAGCGUGGGUAGCAAACAGGAUUAGAUACCCUGGUAGUCCACGCCCGUAAACGAUGUCAACUAGCCGCCGGCCUCACUCUAAAGGUCGGUGGUGCA